GGAACGGGCAGGGAUCCCACAAGCCUUUGCACGGCCUCCGAGAGCCCGGGCCGCCCACGCUCUUCGCGAGCGCUCAGGCCGCCGGGAAAGCCAACGAGACUAGGCUUUCUAAGACAGCAUGCACAUCAUCUGGGUUCACCAUAGUCACGAUGCAACCCCCUGCGAUAUCAGUGAAUACUUGUCACAAGAAUAAACGAGCUUAAUGAAUGACA